UGCGCGCCCAGGGGUCCCGCGGGUUUUCGGGCGCAGGGUGGCGCCCGCGGCAGGCGGCGGCCAUGAACUUCUCCGAGGUGUUCAAGCUCUCCAGCUUACUCUGCAAGUUCUCCCCGGACGGCAAGUACCUGGCUUCCUGUGUCCAGUACCGGUUAGUGGUCCGGGAUGUGAACACCCUUCAGAUCCUUCAGCUGUACACGUGCCUAGACCAGAUCCAGCACAUCGAGUGGUCGGCAGACUCACUCUUCAUCCUGUGCGCCAUGUACAAGCGAGGGCUGGUGCAGGUAUGUGCUGCCGCGUCGCUUAGAAUCUGGACACCUUCCGAGGGCCACUGGGAAGGAGGGGUUUUGUUCUGUGCCUUUCUAGUUUGAAAAAAAAGUCCGUGCAGCUCAAAGCCAGUUUUCUUUUGAAAUUAUAAUGUUUUCUAAAGUUUAAGAACAUUUAAA
rnacentral:sRNA from 1 species